GCUGAUGUAGCUCAGUUGGUAGAGCAGCUCAUUCGUAAUGAGCAGGUCGUAGGUUCAAGUCCUAUAAUCAGCUCCA
rnacentral:tRNA from 1 species